rnacentral:rRNA from 1 species
UACGUAGGAGGCGAGCGUUGUCCGGAGUUACUGGGCGUAAAGGGCGCGUAGGCGGCCCGCUAAGUCGAACGUGAAAUCCCCGGGCUCAACCCGGGAACUGCGUCCGAUACUGGCAGGCUUGAAUCCGGGAGAGGGAUGUGGAAUUCCAGGUGUAGCGGUGAAAUGCGUAGAUAUCUGGAGGAACACCGGUGGCGAAGGCGGCAUCCUGGACCGGUAUUGACGCUGAGGCGCGAAAGCCAGGGGAGCAAACGGG